CAGCAGCAGCCGCGGUAAUACAGAGGGUGCGAGCGUUAAUCGGAUUUACUGGGCGUAAAGCGUGCGUAGGCGGCUUUUUAAGUCGGAUGUGAAAUCCCUGAGCUUAACUUAGGAAUUGCAUUCGAUACUGGGAAGCUAGAGUAUGGGAGAGGAUGGUAGAAUUCCAGGUGUAGCGGUGAAAUGCGUAGAGAUCUGGAGGAAUACCGAUGGCGAAGGCAGCCAUCUGGCCUAAUACUGACGCUGAGGUACGAAAGCAUGGGGAGCAAACAGGAUUAGAUACCCGGGUAGUCCCUGUCUCUUAUAC
rnacentral:rRNA from 1 species